ACGUGAUUUUAUGCUCUUUUAAACAUUUAUAAAUGUGCUGCUUCUUUGUUUUUACAUAGCCAGCCAGAAUGGAGUUCACAGCCGCAGUGUGUCUGGUGACCCACGGGGACCAUGAUGAAAAUUCAUCUUCCAGAAAGUCCCAGAGCAGCGGCCACACCCCCUGAAAAGACCAAGGUGUGAGGUGUCUGCUGUUGAUUCCAGCUUCCACCUCAGUGACAGUGCAAGCUCAGUGAACUGUUCAAGGACACUCAGCAAAAUAUGGACUCUACACCAUGAGGCAGGCACACGUUAAUACUCUAUAAGAGCACAUAAGGUGAGCAACACCACAUAUUGUACACUGUCCUGAAUUUGUUUUCUUUCUGCAUCUCAUUAGCCUGGCUGAUCACCUGAUAACUCCUGUCAUCUGGUUAUGACAGCAUGAUGAUGUCCUCACACACCUGUAACCUAUCAGCUCAUCUGGCAGAAUAGAGAGAGAAGAGACAACACCACAUCUCCUGUUCCUGGAAAGCCUUCAGCCUUCCUUUGAUGACUGAGAACCUCCAUCAGCUCUGUCUCUUGUCUGCCUACUAUUAUUAUAAUAAAUAUUGUGUUUGACAAGUU